AAACUGACGACACUGACACGACUGAAACCGAACACACAACGCACGAAUAGAACAAACUAAAACUGUCAUUUUGAAAAUUGUACGUAAAGGUAGUGGAUAGCGGUCCGGUUUCCGACCAACGAAAAUAUCUUUUUGAAUUUGAAGGUUUUUCGGAACAGAAAAAACGGACAAAUUGUAAGUAGACAGUGACAUUAAGGUAUUCCUUAAUUGACAAUAACCUUUUAUAGCAAAAAACAACAAAUGACGGUUAAAAGUUUUAAAAAACUACCACUGGACGAAAAAGCAACAAUUUCAUUCGGUAUGUGUUAAGUGUAGUCCAAAGUGUUAAAACCUAUGAAAACGACUAUAAUAAAUUACAGAUUCCCUGAGGAAGAUCCAAUAAGGAUCGAAACGUUGGAAGAAGAAAACAUUUAGUUGUUUUUGACCCCGAAAAGACUGAAACGCCAAAACUAUUCGAAAGUCUUCAAAACAGUCGUCGUCAAUAUAGUAAAUAUCCACCAUGGCGGGGUUUUAUCAGAGCAUAAACGACGAAUUCGGACCCGAAGUAAGAGCCACACUAAAAGAGUAUGCGGACAACAACCGAAGAAUGAGCAACAUGGUGGUACGAAAAGAUUUUCUCAUACGAUGCCGAAAGGAAGGUUUGUUCCCCUCGCACAUCCAGAAUUCAUUCAAGUGCGUUUUCCAACUACUCGAGGAGCGCAGCCCCUAUCUGAGAAACCUGGAAAGCUGCAUCACAACAUUCAAGCGAAAAGUCCUAAGUCUGGAGAUCCGACACACAUACUUCAGGAUCAAACAACUGCGGGCGAUGGAACAACAACUACGCGCGAAGCUUUCCGGAGAAUUACCCGAGAGCCGAUACACCACCUUUUUCGCAUCCCAAGAGAUUUUCUUCGAACGACAAACCACAUCAAACCGACAGAAAACAAGCAAUAAAUUCGAACGGCUACUUGCAACUAUGAUUGAUCACUGUUCAAGUCGAUCGCCGUCCCUAAACGAAAAAGCAAUCCACAAUGCCACUGAAAUUACACUACCAGAAAAAGUUGAAUUGCUGCUCAGCCUGGGACCAAAGUUUGCGCUCCCAUCCACCAAUGUUGCCGAGAUGCCUUUCUACCACCUGCUUGCUGAUGUUGAAUCCGUAAUCCAAACCCAUCAAGACGCCGACGUACAGGAGCGAACAAGAUGCAGGGUCGCGAACAACAUCCAGAAUUUCAUUCACCGACAGCAGCAUGCCGGCCCCAUGCAUCCGAAUGAAAGAUUUCUGAAAGAAGCAGAACGUGAGACAAGAAGUUUCCUAAAACAACACCCGAAUUUGUACGUGCUGAAGGCGGAUAAGGGAAACAAAACUGUGAUAAUGCACAAGCAAGACUACGUAGCACGGAUGGAUCAGCUGUUAGCAGACACCAACACAUACGAGAAGACACAGAGAGAUCCGACCAGUGCGUUCCAAACGAAGAACAACGGCAUUGUACGGCGCCUCGAAAAUUUGGGUCUACUGGAUGCAGCAACAGCGAGACGAUUGCGUACCUACAAAGCAGUGUGCCCGAGAAUAUACGGACAGCCAAAAACACACAAACCCGGGCUGCCGUUACGGCCGGUGGUGCCGUGUAUGACGUCUCCAUCGUACGAACUAUCAAAAUUCGUAGGAGCGAUCAUACAACGCUCGUUGCACAGUAAGUACAACAUCUCGGACUCGUUUAAGUUUUGCGAGUUGGUGAACACGGUUACCCUACCGGAGGGACACGUCAUGGUAUCGUUUGAUGUCGUCUCUUUGUUCACAUGUAUUCCGCAAACACUAGUGCGAAAGAGCAUCAUAAAACACUGGGAUGAAAUUGGUACACACACCGACAUUUGUCUCGACCUAUUUCUGGAGGUUACAGCCUUUUGCAUAGAAUGUAGCUAUUUUUCGUUCAAUGGCUCUUUCUAUAAGCAAAAAUUUGGCACGGCUAUGGGGAACCCCCUCUCUCCGAUGAUAGCCGACCUGGUCAUGGAAGAUAUUCUAGAUCAGGCAGUAGAAGCUGUACCAUUUCCAAUCCCAUACCUAAAAAAGUAUGUGGAUGAUUUAUUCCUAGCUCUCCCUGGGGAUAAAAUAGAAAUGGUUCAGGAAAUUUUCAACAGCCAAGACGAAAAUCUCCAGUUUACAGUCGAACGAGAGCAGAACAAUCGGUUACCGUUUCUUGAUAUGGUUAUGACAAGAAACCAGAACCAAACCAUAACAACCGAAUGGUAUAUGAAGCCUAUAUCGUCGGGGCGGUUUCUAAACUAUCGAUCGCUGCACUCGUUUAACCAAAAAAUGAAUGUAGCUUUCAAUUUCGCCAAACGGGUGUACACGUUUACGACGAACCAUCGAGAAGAAGAAGUUGAAAGCGUAAUUCGUCGGCAACUCCUGGUUAACGAUUAUCCGAAUACGUUGAUCAGCCGAGUAAUCAAUAGGGUGAAACUACACAGACAACAAGUGGAUACAGCUAUGGAAGCGAACGAAAACAGACCAGAUGAGGGAGAAACUGUUUUUCGUUCGCUCACCAAUAUCGAUGGACUCUCACAACAGAUAAUCAAAACACUGAGAAGGGAAUAUCCAACACGAAUUGCCACCAAAACAACAAACACGGUUGGCGCGAUACUACCACAGAUUAAGGACAAGACACCCAAUGACGAACAGAGUAAUAUAAUAUACAAAAUCAACUGCGACAACUGUGAUGGCUGCUACAUUGGGAUGACAACGACGAAGCUGAAAACGCGCAUAUCGGGACAUCGCUCAAACGUACGCAGACUGACGACACUGAGAGAAGCAGGACACACCAAUGCAGACGCAGCGAUUAUUAGUAUUAGGGAAAAGACAGCGCUAGUAGACCACGCAGCAGAAAAUGACCAUGUUUUCAGACUUGACGAUGUGAAGAUAUUAGAUAGGACACAAAAACCAUCAAAUCUUCCCAUCUUGGAAAGCUGUCACAUAUACAACACGCCACACACGGUAAACAAACGUACUGACACAGACAAUCUGAACGUAGUCUACGCUGGUCUACUCCACUCUAUCAUGAACGUAAAAAGAACAAAAUCAAACAACCAAAACAGACCGAAUGUAAACAUGACACAAACUGACGACACUGACACGACUGAAACCGAACACACAACGCACGAAUAGAACAAACUAAAACUGUCAUUUUGAAAAUUGUACGUAAAGGUAGUGGAUAGCGGUCCGGUUUCCGACCAACGAAAAUAUCUUUUUGAAUUUGAAGGUUUUUCGGAACAGAAAAAACGGACAAAUUCAAAAAACAACAAAUGACGGUUAAAAGUUUUAAAAAACUACCACUGGACGAAAAAGCAACAAUUUCAUUCGGUAUGUGUUAAGUGUAGUCCAAAGUGUUAAAACCUAUGAAAACGACUAUAAUAAAUUACAGAUUCCCUGAGGAAGAUCCAAUAAGGAUCGAAACGUUGGAAGAAGAAAACAUUUAGUUGUUUUUGACCCCGAAAAGACUGAAACGCCAAAACUAUUCGAAAAUGUAUGAACUUCGAUCACUUUGCCAGAAAAGACCAUUGAUUUAUCGUAUGCGCUGCGCACCUGCCGUACUCUAAAAAACGAACUACGGCUAAGAAAUGCAAUCAAAAUACCUCCGCAAACCUUUCUUAAUGCUUAUUUUCCAAAUGAGAGUACCCGUAAAAUUGGAUUCGAAGCAAAAUCAAUGUCAGCUCUGAUGGGUGCGGGUGAUCUAAAUCGAGGUUUUUUGCUUUUGCAUAUUCGGAUGCCAAGCCCGCGUGGAUGAUGGGAUGAUGACGGCGGCGGAGGAAGCCGGACGUUUGAUCCCCGCUGCUGACCGGACAGGUAUUUGGGCUGAACGAUGUUGGUAAGUAUGAGCCGCAAAACGAUAAACCAAUUCACGCUUUGCGCAAAACAGGUGCGCGUCUGGGGGCGGCGCGGCGACUGAAGACGCUUCCUCAAUCCAUCAUCGUCGGGGUGAGCGUCAAAUUUCACACCGACGCAGCACCAUUCCUCUUUUCUCCGACUAGAAAACGAUGAUAAUUUUGCUUAAUUAUAUAGAUAAGCGAGGCUGUAUUUGCCAUUCAUAGUGGUUUGGUCGUACCGAAGAAAAUCGAUUUCUGCAAUUAUAGUUUUCUUAAUUUAUCCACUCAGCAAAUCUGCGGCAAGUUUUAUUUAGCUGAUGUAGGAUAGGAAUACGAUGAACACUGUUUUCUCAACUUCGAUUGUACAGCUUUCGAAUCCUGAUGGCCUAUUUAUAUGAAUAUAAAAUUGAUAGGGUAGGGGGAUUAGGGGCAUAAUGGACACCCGGGGCGAAAUGGACACCCCUGUUUUUGCCGAAACCGUUGAGUUUUAUGUAAAACUUUUAAUGCAUAAGCGUAAAGGAACAAGUCAUGGUUCUAUUUUUGAAAACUACCGAUUAUUUUGCUCCAAAAUAACCGAAAUAUCAUUGAAAUUGAAAUAUGUUUUUCAUAUGGUGAAAUUCUUAUAAUUUCGAAGCAGUGUCAAAUAAGGUAUUACGAGUGUUUAAGUGUGUCCACCAUAAAAACAAGUGAAUUGUUACCUUAUCUACAUGUAUACGAAGAUUUGGCAAUGAAUGAAGUAUUUUAUUUUUGAUCAGAAUUUACCCAAAAUAGCAAUUUUAAUGUUGUAGUCGAUUCUGGGCGAAAUGAACACUGGCAAUUACGAAUGGAUAUACGCGCAUUGCAUACUGUUAGGCGUUUUAGAGAGUUUGGGAAACAUCCUUACAAUUAUUUUAGCCUAAAGUUUAUUUAAUUAACUUUGAUGUUAUGUAAACUCGUCUAAGGAGGAGCACAGACAAACAGACGUAACAUUUCGAACAUUUUUCGAAUCAAAUCAUAGUCACGGAAACAUGUUUGCCCAAUGCUAAAAGGACUGAGUUUGGCUACCAUCAACUAGGUGACGGUAGUGGGCAAACGUCAAACUCGAGCAAAAACGAUGCGAGCGCCACGGGUGGUCAGUUGGCCAACUAUCAAAUUUUCAAAUAGACCGUUAAAUCGGUGUACGAUGCAAAAUAUCAGUGUUACGUAUGUUUG